rnacentral:pre_miRNA from 1 species
UUUGUACUCCCUCCGUUCCAAAAUAGAUGACCCAACUUUGUACUAAAGUUAGUACAAAUUUGGGUCAUCUAUUUUGGAACGGAGGGAGUACAUC